rnacentral:rRNA from 1 species
UACAGAGGGGGCAAGCGUUGUUCGGAUUUACUGGGCGUAAAGGGCGCGUAGGCGGUCGUGACAAGUCACUUGUGAAAUCUCCGGGCUUAACUCGGAACGGUCAAGUGAUACUGUCGGACUAGAGUACAGAAGGGGCAACUGGAAUUCUCGGUGUAGCGGUGAAAUGCGUAGAUAUCGUAAGGAAGACCAGUGGCGAAGGCGAGAUCUC